rnacentral:snRNA from 1 species
AUCGCUUCUCAGCCUUUUGGCUAAGAUCAAGUGUAGCAUCUGUUCUUAUCAGUUUAAAAACACACACACACAAAUACAGAUGAAGUAAUAUAAAAACCAAACUUAGGUAUAAACUUUA